AGUGCGGUAGCUUAUCAAUUCGUCUAUAAUUUGUAACUUAAUAGCUUUAUUUUUGAGCGGAGCUAUAUUAUUAGCCGUUUGUAUUUGAAUAGCCACAGCCGUUAACUUUGAAAAUAGUCAUUUUGAACUCGUAGUCCAACGGUUUUUAUUAUCUGGCAACCCCAAUGUUGCCAUAUGGUAUAAUCUAGUAUAUUUUCGCAUACCACCGUGAGAGAGAUGGGCGAAAUAUCGAUGCGCGAUGAGUAUCGAGUUGCCGAUUCUUAAUCAUCGACCACCUAUCGAUAUCGCGGUGCUACGAUGUCCCAUCGAUGGCUCGAUGGUUUUUCGAUGUUUUUCCACCGACCGACGAAAUUAUGCCAGCCGCUUCAAAAGCCAGAACUUUGAAAAGUCGAAGCUGAAUUUUCCCCGAUUUUUCCCGAUUUUCCGUUUCCCGCGAAUCUGAAAGCCGCGCUGCCGGCGUCGCUGCCUCUGCCGCCGUCGAAGUCGUCGAUCCCGUUUCACGCGUCGCCGCUUCGUCUCGCCGUCUCGCUUGUUUCCCGCCUCCUCUCUCUCUGCCCCUUGCCCGCCCCCACCACCCGACCAUCCUACCAAAUCAGCCCCCCCUC
rnacentral:sRNA from 13 species